rnacentral:lncRNA from 10 species
CUGGCUCUCCCACUGUCCGCGAAGCUGGGUGACAUCAGGUGUGGUUUAAGGGCAGAGUUUGGAUCGGAAGACCCACGUCUGAAUCGUAGGUGAAGACUAUGGGGAAGGAUCAGGGACCAAGGCCAUGGAGAGGGCUGUGGUUCUGAGGGCUGCAGGAGGGCACGGGAGCGGCUGGGGGAGGAGUGGAGGGAGGGAGGCUAUCUGCAGCCCCCACCCCACUCAGCCCCGCAGAGCGCAGAGCAGCAGGGUAUACUCCCAGGCAUGACACCAGGCGAGGGGGCACUGCCCUCAUCCUCCUGGAUACCCGAGUCUCUUAUCCUUUAGUGGUUUAAAUUCUCUCUCCCCACUGGGGCAGAAAUCUCAGUGCUACUAUUUCUUCAAACCAUUUAUAGCGCCAGUUUUCGAAGCACACUCACCUGUUGUCUUACUUAUCCUUAAUGGGGGUUCUGCCCCCGCCCCCCCCCCCCCCCCCGCCCACAGAGGGUCAGGAAUGUUUGGGAUGUGCAGCCAAGCCACGUUCUUCCCCAGGUGUGCAAGAGCUCCCCGUGCACGGCCUUAGAAUGCCUUAUUAGGAAAAGUUGGGGUGGGAAGUGUCAGGCCUCUGAGCCCAAGCCAAGCCAUCGCAUCCUCUGUGACUUGGACGUAUACGCCCAGGUGGCCUGAAGUAACUGAAGAAUCACAAAAGAAGUGAAAAUGCCCUGCCCAGCCUUAACUGAUGACAUUAUCUUGUGAAAGUCCUUUUCCUGGUUCAUCCUGGCUCAAAAAGCUCCCCCACUGAGCACCUUGCAACCCCCACUCCAGCCCGCCAGAGAACAAUCCCCUUUGACUGUAAUUUUCCUUUACCUACCUAAAUCCUAUAAAACGGCCCCACCCUUAUCUCCCUUAUCUCCCUUCGCUGACUCAGCCCGCCUGCACCCAGGUGAUUAAAAGCUUUAUUGCUCACACAAAGCCUGUUUAGUGGGCUCUUCACACGGACGCGCAUGCAAGGAAGGAGGUUUUUCAUCAGUGGACCAGCUUACUUAGAUUUUCACCAAAUCAUCCGAUUCAUCUGCAGAAUUUGCUUUGGGAACUGCCUAGGAGUUUGUUUUCAAUUGGUCCACACGUGCUUGGCAAACACCCUGAGUGUUGCAGACUGUGGGUUUAGUCUUCCACUGGAGUAUUCUCAAAUUGCCUUUGCAGUUUUAGAAUAAGACCUCUUAUAAUAAGCUUCCCACUGUCAAUGUUUUCAGACACUUUAAAAAAUGCCUCUUGCUGCAGGGCUUCUUCUUGAUAUAUGCCAGUCACACUCCCCCAAACUCCUCUCCAAGUAGAGAACUAAAGCUCUAUCAAAUAUUUCAUCCCAACUUAAUUUUCUAGGGUAUUUGUUGUUGUUGUUGUUGUUGUUGUUGUUUAUUUUGGCAGUUAGGCUUGUUCCUGAAGUUUAAAUGGCACGGUUUAAAUCAUGUUCUGUGCAUACAGGGAGGCCAUGUGUUCCCUGGGGCCCAGGACACCCAGCCUGGGUGCUACGUAAUGCGGCCUUCCUGUCUUAUGGGGCAUUGCUAACAGGUGGCCCAUCCCAAAUGCCUGCAGAUUUUCAGAGGGGCGCUGAACUCCCCAGAGAGGAAGGAUAGUGCGGAGAUUUCCAUUGUCUUGCUUUGGUUUAGAAAGCCCCAGGGUAGGGGUGAGUCCUGGUCCCGCCCCAGCCCUCGUGAAGACCCACCUGCCUCAGAGAAUGGCUGAGCUCCAGAGACACCUGAGUCAGUGCCCAGCCUGGCAGGAUCUUCUGCAACUACGUGCACCGGCACCUGUGCUGCAGGCCUCCCGCUCCCAGCCACGGACCAGCACCUGGGCUCAGGCCUUUAAGACCAGGAGUUGGCUGUGGAGGCUGAGGAGAGGCGAGACUUUGGCGUGCGGCUUGCGUGACUGCAACUAGACAAGGCAUGACUACUUGGACAUGUCAACCAAUCCUUAAGGAUGCAAUGAAACAAAGCAAAUCCAGUGGCUCAUUAAGACAGUACAAGAGACAAAUGCGACAAAACGUCAACUGGUGAACAUUCACAGGAUUACUAAACACUGCAGAAAUUCUCUAACAGGAUUUUUUUAACCAAGUUUGUGUAAUACAAUUUCAUGAAUUAUGCAAAUAAAGGUUUAGGCUAUUCACAGAAAAGCCCAGUGUUAUGUUACUUUCAUUGCAUAGAACUGAGAACUGAACACAUCAAUCACAAAAGUCACAGGAGACACUGCUGCAUUCCUGCUUGCUGAUGGCUCUGUUGAAACAUUUCCAUUUCAGACAAUAAAAAAAAAAAAAAAAAAAAAAAAAGGACAUUGCUAUUUUGCAGCACAGCAUACUAUUUACUUCCAACUGUGAUUCUUUUUUAUUGUAAAUUGACAGUUUGUAAUUAUAUAAAUUUGGAGU